rnacentral:rRNA from 1 species
GUAACACGUGGGAAUUUUCCUCAAGGUACGGAACAACUCAGGGAAACUUGGGCUAAUACCGUAUGAUGCAGCGAUGCCAAAGAUUUAUCGCCUUGGGAUAAGCCCGCGUCAGAUUAGGUAGUUGGUGGGGUAAUGGCCUACCAAGCCUGCGAUCUGUAGCUGGUCUGAGAGGACGAUCAGCCACAUUGGGACUGAGACACGGCCCAAACUCCUACGGGAGGCAGCAGUGGGGAAUCUUGCGCAAUGGGCGAAAGCCUGACGCAGCCAUGCCGCGUGAAUGAUGAAGGUCUUAGGAUUGUAAAGUUCUUUAGCCUGUGACGAUGAUGACGGUAACAGGAGAAUAAGCCCCGGCUAACUUCGUGCCAGCAGCCGCGGUAAUACGAAGGGGGCUAGCGUUGUUCGGAAUUACUGGGCGUAAAGCGCGCGUAGGCGGUUCUACAAGCCAGAGGUGAAAUGCCUGAGCUUAACUUGGGAAUUGCCUUUGGAACUGUAUGACUUUGAGGACGAGAGAGGUGAGUGGAAUUCCCAGUGUAGAGGUGAAAUUCGUAGAUAUUGGGAAGAACACCGGUGGCGAAGGCGGCUCACUGGCUCGUUUCUGACGCUGCAGCG